CUUUAGGAUUGACCAUUUUUUACUUUUCUGUAAAGUGGCCAUAGAAAAGAUACAAGGUUUUUGCAUGACAACAAUAUUAUAUAUAUUAUUAUAUAUAUUUUAAUGCUCUGACAACAUACAGUAUCAUUACUCUGAAUGUAUGAAAACAUUUCAAAUAUUGAAAAGACAGAAAAUCCUGAAUACACUCAAUAGUAGCAGCUGUUCCACUAAAAUCACCCGGGCAGAUCCAGACUGAAGUCUGAUAUCAAACGAGUGCAACCCUCAAUACUAAAGGGAACAUUUAUUACAGCAGCUUUAAAAUGCAUAAUGAGGGUGCAGAGCUGGUAAAUAUGUCUCGAUUUAUAUUUUAGAUAUAAUAAUAACCAUUGUCUGGACAUUUCUCAUUCCGUUCUUCACUGAUUCUGAUACUCUAUAUGGUUAAAAGUAUUGAGACACGCCUACAGCAGCUUUAAGGAGGUUUAAUUCUAAAUAUAUGAGCAUUAAUAUGGAGCUGUUCCUCUUUUGCAGCUCUAACUGCAGGUGAGGGGACGCUGCAGGUGAGGGGGACGCUGUGCUGCAGGUGAGGGGGACGCUGCAGGUGAGGGGGACGCUGCAGGUGAGGGGGACGCUGCAGGUGAGGGGGACGCUGCAGGUGAGGGGGACGCUGCAGGUGAGGGGGACGCUGCAGGUGAGGGGGACGCUGCAGGUGAGGGGGACGCUGUGCUGCAGGUGUUGCAUCAGCAGAACAUUGGAGACUAUAGUUAAGCAGGUAAAAUGGUCCAAAUCAGAUUUUCUUACUAAAUCCAAUGUAUUUUUAAAUCUUUCACCCUGAAUGAUCUAUAAUCAGAUUUUAUCUGAACAGUUCUCUUCUAAAUUUAUUCAAAUGCACAAAAGAGAAAUGCUUCACUUGAAGUUUCUGUUUCAUCUUUUCCAGCAUCAUAGGAGCUAAGAAGGAGAUCCAGUGGUUAACAGCUGGGCUUAAUGAAGAGACCACUUCAGUUUCUGAAUCGGUUUUUAGAAACGGUAUAAAAUGAUCUGAAUGUUUAUCUGGUUAUCAGUAGAGUGGUGGAUCUAGGAUUUUUAGCAGUCACACCAUGUUUAAACACAUUAAUGUAAUUUUAAAAGCUUAAAAGUAAUAUUUUUGGAGUUAAUUUUGUGCCAAAAGUUUUACACAUUUUACAAUUUAAAUCUGCAACAUUAAGAAUUAUAAGAUAUAAAA